GAGACACAUCAGACCCACUGUCCUAACUGGGUACGGGGAGGGGCAGGACCAGCCAAACUAGGGAUAAACUGUCAAGAUGAGGUCUGAGGGUAGGAAGGUCCCCGCAGGCCGCAGGCGGUAGAAACAGGCCUGGGAGCAGGGGCUCAGGAAUGAGACCCCUCCCUGAGUGUUUGGGCAGGUCUGAGCCAACAGGGCCUUACACACCUCUUCUCGUGCAGUCCUCACUACUGCCCUCUGGUGGUGGCUGUCUCCAUUUCACAGGGGAGGAUGUUGAGAAGUUCCUCUGCGUGAAGGGACAGAGCUCGGAGGUGAACCCCGGCCUGAAUUAUCCAAAAUGCUGUGCACUUCUCAGGACACUGUAGUGUUCCAGCACCCCAUAGGGACCCAGUGAGGGAAGAGAUUAUUGUCAUGUGGAAGACAUUUGGGGUGGGGGUCUCAGCCAAAACAUCCACUCAUCAGAAAGACUCCUCUUGGCCACCCAUCUAAAGAAGGUCCCUUUCCUAAUUUCUCAUGCGGCACUCAGUUUCUUCACUGCCCUCAUCAUAAUUCAAGAUCAUAUAUUUAUAUGUGAAUAUAGUUUACUUUUAUCGUAAACUAAAGUUUGCAGGAAAAGGACCGUGGAGGCCUCUUUUGUUCUGCAUUCUAUCCCCAGCACCUGCUGUGGUACCAGGCAAGCAAGCAGGCACUCGAAACUGCUUUGGUGGAUGCAGCAGUGGGGUACACUGGAAAACGGAGGCAAGUGAGGGAUGUCACAGGUCACAAGCCUCCACCAGAGACUGAAGGUGUUGACUUUCACCUCCCACACCCUCUAGAGUGUGAUGGGAGGUUUGCUCUCUCAGGGACAGCAUAAAAAUAAUGCUUAUGUUACAGGGAUGAGAACCAAGGUUGAGGAAGCAGAAAGUAGGUGGUGUGACCAGCAACGGUGUGAUCAGCAAGGGUGCCUGAAAAUGGGACAACUGACAGCCUUGGAAGAAGCAGGCUCUUUGGCCAUGGGACCUGAGGCAGGCCCUCAGCAGCUGGGGCUGGGCAGCUUGGGCGGCUCCAUGCCUCACUUCCUCCUCUGAGGAACUGGCCAGAAAGCUGACUUCAGUGACGACUCAGGAAGAGUCAGGUUCACCCAAGGAACAGAAUGUGGCCUGAGAACAGAUGAAGUCAGUUAUGCCUCAGUCAUUGCUGUCAUAUUUUCUCCUCUGCACUUGCUCAUUCAGAAAAUAUUUAUUGGCAUCUACUAGGUAUUAAGAAUCCUUGUAGGCUGGGCGUGGUGGCUUACGGUUGUAAUCCCAGCACUUUGAGAGGCCGAGGUGGGUGGAUUACGAGGUCAGGAGUUCGAGACCAGCUGACCAACAUGGUGAAACACCAUCUAUACUAAAAAUACAAAAAUUAGCCAGGCAUGGUGGCGUGCACCUGUAAUACCAGCUACUCCGGAGGCUGAGGCAGGAGAAUCACUUGGACCCGUGAGGCAGAGGUUGCAGUGAGCAGAGAUCAUGCCAUUGCACUCCAGCCUGGACAACAGAGUGAGACUCUGUCUCAAAAAAAAAAAAAAAAAAAAA
ensembl:lncRNA